rnacentral:rRNA from 1 species
CCUACGGGUGGCAGCAGUGGGGAAUUUUCCGCAAUGGGCGCAAGCCUGACGGAGCAACGCCGCGUGAGGGAUGAAGGCCUUUGGGCUGUAAACCUCUUUUCUCAAGGAAGAAGAUAUGACGGUACUUGAGGAAUAAGCCACGGCUAAUUCCGUGCCAGCAGCCGCGGUAAUACGGGAGUGGCAAGCGUUAUCCGGAAUUAUUGGGCGUAAAGCGUCCGCAGGCGGCCGUUUAAGUCUGUUGUUAAAUAGUGGAGCUCAACUCCAUCACGGCAAUGGAAACUGUUCGGCUUGAGUAUGGUAGGGGCAGAGGGAAUUUCCGGUGUAGCGGUGAAAUGCGUAGAUAUCGGGAAGAACACCAGUGGCAGAAGCGCUCUGCUGGGCCAUUACUGACGCUCAUGGACGAAAGCCAGGGGAGCGAAAGGGAUUAGAUACCCCUG